rnacentral:tRNA from 1 species
GGUCUUAUAUUCAAUAAUGAUUCUAGACUGCAAUUCUAGGGGUGUAAAAGUUUUUACUAAGGCCU